rnacentral:rRNA from 1 species
UACAGGGGGUGCAAACGUUGCUCGGAAUCAUUGGGCGUAAAGCGCACGUAGGCGGUCUGUUAUGUCGGAUGUGAAAGCCCUUGGCUCAACUGAGGAAGUGCAUCCGAAACUGGCAGGCUAGAGUACUAAAGAGGGUCGCGGAAUUCCCGGUGUAGAGGUGAAAUUCGUAGAUAUUCGCAAGAACACCAGUGGCGAAGGCGGCUCACUGGCCCGGUACUGACGCUGAGGCACGAAAGCGUGGGGAGCAAACAGG